CCUACGGGCGGCAGCAGUAGGGAAUCUUGCUCAAUGGGGGAAACCCUGAAGCAGCAACGCCGCGUGGAGGAUGAAGGUUUUCGGAUUGUAAACUCCUUUUGUUAGAGAAGAUAAUGACGGUAUCUAACGAAUCAGCACCGGGUAACUCCGUGCCAGCAGCCGCGGUCUUACGGAGGGUGCACGCGUUACUCGGAAUCACUGGGCGUAACGAGCGCGUAGGCGGGAUAGCAAGUCAGAUGUGAAAUCCUAGGGCUUAACCAUAGAAGUGCAUUUGACACUGGGAUUCUAGAGUAUGGGAGAGGAAGGUGGAAUUCGAGGUGUAGGGGUAAAAUCCGUAGAGAUCAAGAGGAACACUCAUGGCGAAGGCGACCUGCUAGAACAUAACUGACGCUGAUGCGCGAAAGCGUGGGGAGCAAACAGGAUUAGAUACCCGGGUAGUC
rnacentral:rRNA from 1 species